GGUGGAGGCGACUCCCAGGCUAGUGCAACAGAAAUAUACCGCCAUAUGUACUAAAGAGCAACCCGCUUGCGGGAGGCUCCAUAUGGUAAGGGUGGAAAGGCGAGGUAAGAGCUCACCGCUGUCUUGGUAACAAGGCAGGCUCUGUAAACCCCAUUCGGAGCAAGACCAAACAGAAAACCAUACAGUUGCCCGCUGUGUUUUCAGGUAGGUCGCUUGAACCUUAUGGUAACAUAAGGUCUAGAUAGAUAAUCACUCUCGACAUAACCCGGCUUACAGUCUGGCUUUCGUU
rnacentral:RNase_P_RNA from 1 species